GAGCGGCGGACGGGUGAGUAAUGCCUAGGAAUCUGCCUGGUAGUGGGGGAUAACGCUCGGAAACGGACGCUAAUACCGCAUACGUCCUACGGGAGAAAGCAGGGGACCUUCGGGCCUUGCGCUAUCAGAUGAGCCUAGGUCGGAUUAGCUAGUUGGUGAGGUAAUGGCUCACCAAGGCGACGAUCCGUAACUGGUCUGAGAGGAUGAUCAGUCACACUGGAACUGAGACACGGUCCAGACUCCUACGGGAGGCAGCAGUGGGGAAUAUUGGACAAUGGGCGAAAGCCUGAUCCAGCCAUGCCGCGUGUGUGAAGAAGGUCUUCGGAUUGUAAAGCACUUUAAGUUGGGAGGAAGGGCAGUUACCUAAUACGUAUCUGUUUUGACGUUACCGACAGAAUAAGCACCGGCUAACUCUGUGCCAGCAGCCGCGGUAAUACAGAGGGUGCAAGCGUUAAUCGGAAUUACUGGGCGUAAAGCGCGCGUAGGUGGUUCGUUAAGUUGGAUGUGAAAUCCCCGGGCUCAACCUGGGAACUGCAUCCAAAACUGGCGAGCUAGAGUAUGGUAGAGGGUGGUGGAAUUUCCUGUGUAGCGGUGAAAUGCGUAGAUAUAGGAAGGAACACCAGUGGCGAAGGCGACCACCUGGACUGAUACUGACACUGAGGUGCGAAAGCGUGGGAGCAAACAGGAUUAGAUA
rnacentral:rRNA from 1 species